CUCUCUUUAAGUUUAAACAUGUUGUAUCUGUUCUUAUCAGUUUGUAUCUGUUCUUAUCAGUUUAAUAUCUGAUACGUCCCCUAUCUGGGGACCAUAUAUUAAAUGGAUUUUUGAGAACGGGGGCCGAUUUCGAAGCUUGCUUCCGUCGCCCUAUGCAUUGACCCGAUAUGGCAGUAUCUUCGGGUACAGUGCACCACCC